AAACUGCCUGAGUGUCUUUAACAGGCUCUAUAAUGGACUGUGGUUGUCUUCAGCGAGCAUCUGUUGGACCCCAUGUUUUAUGGCCCCGUCCUUAUUGUGUCUCCAGUAAAACUCAAAGAGCAGAGGGCUGAAAAGUCAAGGGCCUCAUCAUUUAUGGGUAUGGAUCGAAAUAUAGCAGCAAUCGUCAGGAUGCUUCGGACUUUCUCGACUUGAAACAGGAUGUUGUGAUCAGCACCUUCUCCCAAAGUCUGAUGACUACCAUAAGUAAAAGGCUAUUUAUAGAACUGUGUAGAAGUGUUGAAGCGCUGAUCAUUUCUGCAUUUUUUGCUAGGAUGUAUGGAAAUAUCUUAGCUAAGUUGUCUGUCAUGUGUAGGCAUUAUACUGGUUCAUCCCUUGUGCUAUGUGUCUUUUUAUGCUUGGAUGAUUCAUAGGUCAGUGUUAAGUGGCUUAACAAACUCACACAAAAAGCACAUUCCUCUAAGGUACAAGAACCUGACCAAUGACCUGCCUUUUAUUUACAGUAUCCUCUUUAAAUAAAAGGCAAUAAAGUUCAGGCACAGAACUCAAGUAUCACACAGUGAGACGCUUUUACUUGUUCUAUUUUUAUCACAAUAAUACUAAGUAACUUCCGCAAAAUCAUUGCUGUUAAAAUGUUGCACUGGAGAUAAAACUGUAAUCACUCAUGUGUCAUUUUGUUGACCAUUGGCGCACACUGAGGUGCGCAAUUGUGACGCGCACGAGGGGUUUUCAGCAACCACGUGAACCACUACACAUGAUCCACCUGUAAUUAACCUCCUGGGCCAUCCUGUGGUAAAAGCAGACCGAGCAGGCUCCAACAGCCUGUCCUUUGCACGACUAUGUUUUCAGUUUUUCUAGAGCCAAUGUGGCCAUUUAAAAUCCUGUAUCCAAGUCUUCAGGUCGCCCAUAGAUUUAUACAGAAAAAAUACGAAAAUUCUAAAAAGAUCAAGUACAUUGUGGGGUAUUUAUUAUACAUUUGUUUUUAUUAUCCUUUAUUUAUCCAGGUGAAAAGUUUCAGUGAGAUUUAAAUCUAAUUUCCAAGAAAGACCUGGCCAAUAGGGCAGCAAAAGCCACAGCAAAUACGACGCAUAAUAAUAUGACAAGUAAAAAACAAAUAAUAUAUUGCAUACGGACAAGUGAGCACAAACGUGAAUAACACACAAUAGCAGAUCAUUAAAAGCCACAUUAAAAACAGUCACACUGGCUAAAAGAGCUAUUCUCUCGCUCCUUUAAAUAUACAUACAGGACAAUACAUAC